GUGGGGAAUCUUCCGCAAUGGGCGAAAGCCUGACGGAGCAACGCCGCGUGAGUGAAGAAGGCCUUCGGGUCGUAAAGCUCUGUCUUUAGGGACGAACCGCGUAUGGAGUAAUAUGCCAUACGUCUGACGGUACCUAAGGAGGAAGCUCCGGCUAACUACGUGCCAGCAGCCGCGGUAAUACGUAGGGAGCGAGCGUUGUCCGGAAUUACUGGGCGUAAAGGGCGCGUAGGCGGCGGUUUAAGUAGGGUGUGAAAACUAUGGGCUCAACCGAUAGACUGCAUCCUAAACUGGGCCGCUUGAGGGGAGGAGAGGAAAGUGGAAUUCCUAGUGUAGCGGUGAAAUGCGUAGAUAUUAGGAGGAACACCAGUGGCGAAGGCGACUUUCUGGACUGUACCUGACGCUGAGGCGCGAAAGCGUGGGGAGCGAACAGGAUUAGAAACCCUAGUAGUCC
rnacentral:rRNA from 1 species